rnacentral:rRNA from 1 species
GCAAGAUGAGAGUUUGAUCCUGGCUCAGAACGAACGCUGGCGGCGUGGAUAAGACAUGCAAGUCGAACGAAGAUCUUGAAUAGCUUGCUAAUUGAGAUCUUAGUGGCGGACGGGUUAGUAACACGUGAGAACCUACCCUUUAGACAGGAAUAGCCCAUGGAAACGUGGAUUAAUGCCUGAUGGUCUCUACGGAGUAAAGGAUGCCUUCGGGUGUCGCUGAAGGAUGGGCUCGCGGCCUAUCAGCUUGUUGGUGAGGUAAAGGCUCACCAAGGCGACGACGGGUAGCUGGUUUGAGAGGACGAUCAGCAACACUGGAACUGAGACACGGUCCAGACACCUACGGGUGGCAGCAGUCGAGAAUCAUUCACAAUGGGGGCAACCCUGAUGGUGCAACGCCGCGUGGAGGAUGACGGUCCUAGGAUUGUAAACUCCUGUCAUUGGGGAGUAAGACUUGUUCGUUAAUAGCGUGCAAGUUUGAUAGUACCCAAAGAGGAAGGGACGGCUAACUUCGUGCCAGCAGCCGCGGUAAUACGAAGGUCCCAAGCGUUGUUCGGAAUCACUGGGCGUAAAGCGUGUGUAGGCUGCGCGGAAAGUCAAAUGUGAAAGCCCGGGGCUCAACCUCGGAACUGCAUUCGAUACUCCCGUGCUAGAGUCAUGGAGAGGUCAGUGGAAUUCCCGGUGUAGCAGUGAAAUGCGUGGAUAUCGGGAGGAACAUCAAUGGCGAAGGCAACUGACUGGACAUGUACUGACGCUCAGACACGAAGGCCAGGGUAGCGAAAGGGAUUAGAUACCCCUGUAGUCCUGGCAGUAAACGGUGCUCGC